CCACACGACUCUCGGCAACGGAUAUCUCGGCUCUCGCAUCGAUGAAGAACGUAGCGAAAUGCGAUACCUGGUGUGAAUUGCAGAAUCCCGCGAACCAUCGAGUCUUUGAACGCAAGUUGCGCCCGAGGCCACUCGGCCGAGGGCACGCCUGCCUGGGCGUCAC
rnacentral:rRNA from 13 species